UUUUUAAAUGCAAAUACAUAUAAAUAAGUUUUAAAAAUAUAGCAUAAUUCAUUAUUUAAAAUAUCAUAACAUACAAUAAAAAUAUUUAAAGUCUUAAAACAAAAAAAUUUCGUAAUAUAAAAGAUGCGGUAAGAAAUUAGGGUUAGAAUUUUUAAGAUGGAUAAAUAAAAAUAUAUACAUUUUAAUUAAGAAAAUAUAUUUUUUAAUUAAAAAGUAUAUGUGCGGGUACCCGUGGGUAUCCGCGGGUUA
rnacentral:lncRNA from 1 species